rnacentral:misc_RNA from 1 species
GAUGAAGAACGUAGCGAAAUGCGAUAAGUAAUGUGAAUUGCAGAAUUCAGUGAACCAUCGAAUCUUUGAACGCACAUUGCGCCCGGCAGUAAUCUGCCGGGCAUGCCUGUCCGAGCGUCAUUUCUGCCCUCGAGCGAGUCCAGCAUCUAGGUGCUGGGCCCGCCCGGCGUUGGGGCACUACGGGAAGCCCUGUGCUGUCCCCCGUAGGCCCCGAAAUGAAGUGGCGGUCCUGCCGCGGCGCCCCCUGCGUAGUAUAACAGCUCGCUUCGUGACCCGGUGGAGGCCUGCCGUCAAACCUUACUCUCUAAGUUUGACCUCGGAUCAGGUAGGGUUACCCGCUGAACUUAAGCAUAUCAAUAAGCGGAGGA